AGCAAGUUGAAAUGGGGAGCUGGGAACUUUGACCUCCCAAGGAUGGGGGCUAGUCACUUCUUUGUGACACGCUUCAAUUGCUCCAGGAUGUAAAAUCUACCUUCAUUUCAGGGAAGUUGUCAAAUACUCCAUGAAGAUAACCAGUGCUGUUGAAAGACUAAAUACUAUUAUCACUGUCACCAUUACAUGAACUAAGCUGGUUCGAGUCCAGCAUGGAGACUAUCCAGAAGGAUGACUGUCAUGACCCAGUUAGCUGAUGUGAGUACACAUACUUCAUUGGUUUCAUAGAGAAGGAAUGGCCUCUGAUGUUCAUUACAGUUCUCAAUCUGUUGCUUUAAGCUCUGGAUGUCAUCUGGACUGAAGUUUCCUUUGAAAGGUAUCAUUUCAGUUGAAUAGUAUCUCGUAUGUGGCUUGUAGAAAGGGGUACUUCAUGAAUGAAAGACCAAAGGAAGAAAGCUCCAACUAUCUUCGAGAGCCAAAAUAUCUCUGUUUUUGCUGAAAGUUCUUUAGGUACCAUGAGACACAAGAAGCCUAAGACAUCAUCCCUAUCCUCAAGGCAUUUAUACCAUGUUUGAGUGAACAACAACAAAGAAAUAUAGUAUAUAAUUUAGCACUAAAUUAUACAACUCAGAGUAGGCUGAGUUGUGGGAGAUGGGGUAGGGGAUAUGAGAGGGAAGGAACCAAACACUACUAUCACCACUAUCAUUACUACUAGUACUACUAGACAUUUACACAGUGCUUUAAUUCUGCAAUAUGCUUUUUAGACUAUCUCAUUUGAGCUUUGCCACAGUCCUAUAUAAUAUAGGCAUUUUCAUUUUAUGAAGGAGAAAAGGACACCAAAAGAAGCUACAUUUCUUGACUAUGGAAUAUAAGCACCUUGAGGGCAGGAACUUUUAGCUCAGGGCCUUAUACAUAGUAAGAAAUAAAUGCUUAUUGACGGACUGACAGUCACUAUAGACUUAGGUGUUUCUCCUGGAAAAAAUGGGGACUGCUUACCUAAUUUCUAUUGUCUGAAGCAGUUUUUCAAGGAAAAUGGUUUGCAAACCUCAAAGUGCUUCCACAUGAUUUAUUAUUUCUCUUUGAUAAGGCACCUGAUGAAAAUAAUCCCCUUGUCCAAAUGUUGAGGGGGCAUAGUGAAAGGUGACCCUAAGAAACUAGUGAGGAUUGAGAAAUUUCCUAUGGAGUGGGAAGCUGGAAUUCAAAUAGGAGGCGAACAUAAGUAAUUUAAAACAGUCAUUGUUGUGAGGUGAGAAGAAAAGAGGAGAUUCUAGCAAGCUCAUUGUAAUUCAACGCGACAGUCACCGUGCUGGGUGUGCAAGCUUGGCAUUCUGUCAGCUGCUGAUGGCCACAUCAUCUUUUUGAGCUCUACUCCACUGAGGCAUCAUGACAGAUUUGAUGUACCCCCAAAAGUAAACAGAGGGAUUUCCACAGAUAUUUAAGAUUUGAAAAAUGACAUUUCAUGGCAGCAGCUGAGAAUGCGCUGAAUCUGUGAUGGGCAAUUAGAAGAGUGACAUUUUAUUUAAAGGGAUGAUUGUUCAGAGUUGGGCAUCUGUACUUUAUGGAUUGUUGAAAGUGGAAAGGUUGGCUUAUGGGCACACAGAAUAAAGGGAGAAAAGGAAGACGGUAACAGAGGGAAAGAAAGUGAGCGAGAAAAAGAAGGAGAGAGAGAGGAAGUGGAAUAAACUAGAAUGUGGUCAAUAUAAUUUUAUUUGCUUUAUUAAUCCUGAGUGUGGUGCCAAUAUGUCUGGGUUCUGUGGCUCCCUGGCUGCACUGUCACACGGUGUGUGAUCAAUCCUCACUCCCAUGAAAUGAGCCGCCCACUAGAAGGAAAACAUCGCUAGAAUCAUAUGACAUUUCCAUAAAAAUCUCGGCAUUAAACCAGGCCAUAUUUUGAUGUAGCAGUCUCAGUGGGUUUGAAUAGUCCCAGUGCUGCACAGCUCUGGGAAGAAGGCAGCCCUGUCUAUCCUGAUUGCUUGUUUCUUAACUGAAAUAUAUCCCAUUUCCCUGUCACCGGGCCAGUGAGACCAAGAAAAAGACACAAGCCUUGGGGUAUUCCUCUGAAUUGAUCUUCCCUGCUUCCAAACGAAUAGAGUCUUUCCUUUUCCAAGAGAGGAAAAGUGAGUGGUGGGUGCCAGUGGGGAUGGAGGUGGG